rnacentral:rRNA from 1 species
UACAGAGGGGGCAAGCGUUGUUCGGAAUUACUGGGCGUAAAGGGCGCGUAGGCGGCCUGUUAAGUCGAACGUGAAAUCCCCGGGCUCAACCCGGGAACUGCGUCCGAUACUGGCAGGCUUGAAUCCGGGAGAGGGAUGCGGAAUUCCAGGUGUAGCGGUGAAAUGCGUAGAUAUCGGGAGGAACACCAGUGGCGAAGGCGGCUCUCUGGGCCCUACCUGACGCUGAGACGCGAAAGCGUGGGGAGCGAACCGG